UACGGGGGGGGCAAGCGUUGUUCGGAAUUACUGGGCGUAAAGGGCUCGUAGGUGGCCAACUAAGUCAGACGUGAAAUCCCUCGGCUUAACCGGGGAACUGCGUCUGAUACUGGUUGGCUCGAGUUUGGGAGAGGGAUGCGGAAUUCCAGGUGUAGCGGUGAAAUGCGUAGAUAUCUGGAGGAACACCGGUGGCGAAGGCGGCAUCCUGGACCAACACUGACGCUGAGGCGCGAAAGCUAGGGGAGCAAACGGG
rnacentral:rRNA from 1 species